AUGCAGCAGGCGCAGCGGAGCAAGGGUUCGGCGGAGGCGGACUUCUUCACUGAGUACGGCGACGCCAACCGGUACAAGAUCCAGGAGGUCAUCGGCAAGGGGAGCUACGGGGUUGUGUGCUCCGCCCUUGAUCUGCAGACCAGGCAGAAAGUGGCCAUCAAGAAGAUACACAAUAUCUUCGAGCAUACCUCCGACGCCGCGCGGAUCCUCCGUGAGAUCAAGCUUCUGAGGCUCCUACGGCAUCCCGACGUCGUCGAGAUCAAGCACAUUAUGCUGCCUCCCUCCAGAAAGGACUUCAAGGACAUCUACGUUGUUUUUGAGCUCAUGGAGUCUGAUCUCCACCAAGUUAUUAAGGCCAACGAUGACUUGACGAAAGAGCACUACCAGUUCUUUCUCUACCAGCUACUCCGAGCCCUCAAAUACAUUCAUACUGCUAGUGUUUACCAUCGUGACCUGAAGCCCAAGAAUAUUUUGGCAAAUUCUAACUGCAAACUGAAGAUAUGUGAUUUUGGACUAGCACGAGUUGCAUUCAACGAUACCCCAACAACUGUCUUCUGGACGGAUUAUGUCGCGACAAGAUGGUAUAGAGCUCCAGAGCUCUGCGGAUCCUUCUUCACAAAGUAUACACCUGCCAUUGACAUUUGGAGCAUUGGGUGCAUUUUCGCUGAGGUGCUGACAGGAAAGCCUUUGUUUCCUGGUAAAAAUGUUGUCCAUCAGUUAGACUUAAUGACUGAUCUCCUAGGGACACCUUCAAUGGAUACAAUUUCUCGGGUCCGAAAUGAGAAAGCAAGAAGGUACUUGAGCAGUAUGAGAAAGAAAGACCCGGUCCCAUUUUCUCAGAAGUUUCCUAAUGCAGAUCCUUUGGGAGUUAAACUCUUGGAGAAGCUAUUAGCCUUUGAUCCAAAAGACCGUCCAACUGCGGAAGAGGCAUUGACUGAUCCAUACUUUAGAGGCCUUUCCAAGCCAGAGAGAGAACCAUCCUGUCAGCCAAUCAGAAAAAUGGAGUUUGACUUUGAGCACAGCAGAGUGUCAAAGGAUGAUAUAAGGGAGCUGAUAUUCCAGGAGAUAUUGGAAUAUCAUCCGCAAUUGCUGAAGAGCUACACUGAUGGCACAGAGAGGACAACCUUUCUCUACCCAAGUGCUGUCGAUCAUUUCAAGAAGCAGUUCUCUCAUCUUGAAGAAAGCGAUGGCAGCGGCCCUGUAGUCCCAGCAGAUAGAAAACAUGCAUCUCUUCCUAGGUCCACUAUUGUUCACUCGACUCCAAUUCCCGCGAAGGACACUCGGCCGCUCUUUGGCAAGCCUUGCAACAAAACUUCCUCGGAGACAGGGAGGUAUGCUGGGAAUGGUCACGGUGCUUCUCAGGCUUCACACGCGGCACAAGCAGUGAUUUCGCGGAGAGCUGCCGGUUCAGCGUUACCUUAUGACGCGGCAAGCAGGCCGACGAUUAGCCCAGGAUGCCCUCCUCAGCAGCAGAUCCCACAAAUGUAUGGGCAAUAUCAGCAUCAAGCACCUCCUGGUGCUGGUGCUGGUGCUGGGAUACCACAGGCCAUGGGGGGCUAUGCCUGUGGUGGGUACACCAAAGGCACGGCGCCUAAUGCUGCUGCUGCUGCUCCGGCCAUGAGAGCACCCCCCUAUCGACACCUACCGACGGGGCAGAAGAACGGCCCGCUGGACAGACUGGCAGUGGAGACCACCGACAUAUACACGCGGUCGCUCAACGGCAUCGUCGCCGCCGCCGCGGCAUCGGCCGGUGCCACGGGCGCCCACAGGAAGGUGGGCGCCGUGCCGUUUGGCAUGCCGACGACUUACUAG
rnacentral:rRNA from 1 species